AGUUUACAUUUACCUCAGAAGAAGACUGUGUGGCUCUGACGACGAACGGGAGCAUUUUGAAGAGAGAAUAGAUCCAACGGAGGACACACUGGAUUGAAAGGGCUCUGGGGUGUUUUGCCAGGCAGAAGCGUGGAGAGCAGCCCGCCUUGCCACCUCUGCUACUGCCAUGGUGCGAAAUCUGCUGCUGGGCACCUUCGACUUGGAGACUUUGCUGCAACCUGAAUGGUGAAAAGCCAACCAGAGGGGAUGGGGAGCAGCUGGUCGCGUUUAUUAGGCAUUGGAGACUGCAUAAGGUAGGGCACCCAUUAUUGUUACUGUAUCUGCUUGGGACCUAUACACUAAUUCAUCGCUUGCUCACUUCUUAAUC